rnacentral:lncRNA from 1 species
AAAAAAAAAAAAAAAAAAAAAAAAAAAAAAAAAAAUUUUGCAAGUCACCUAUUGUUAGUUGGUUCAGAGGUAUCUGGCACUGAACUUGGUAGGGCGGAUUACGAUCGCGAUCCCCCGCAGCUACAUUUUGGCGAAAUAAAACAGGUUCACACAUGCUUAUGUGCCAGAAACCUUAUGUUAUGGAUCAGAAUCACUAACCGGUCAC